rnacentral:rRNA from 1 species
UACGUAGGGUGCAAGCGUUAAUCGGAAUUACUGGGCGUAAAGGGCGCGUAGGCGGCCUUCUAAGUCGAACGUGAAAUCCCCGGGCUCAACCCGGGAACUGCGUCCGAGACUGGAAGGCUUGAAUCCGGGAGAGGGAUGUGGAAUUCCAGGUGUAGCGGUGAAAUGCGUAGAUAUCUGGAGGAACAUCGGUGGCGAAGGCGGCAUCCUGGACCGGUAUUGACGCUCAUGUGCGAAAGCGUGGGGAGCAAACAGG